UGACCCCGUAGUUCAUCUGGAUAGAACAAUGGUCUCCUAAACCGUAGAGGUGAGUUCGGAUCUCACCGGGGUCAUAGA
rnacentral:tRNA from 1 species